ACAGCUCGUAAGCCAUGCUUCCUUAUUCUUUCCUAAUAUUUCCCUGUCGUCUGUCAGGAUAGCUGGUCACCUUAACGUGCAAUGUUCUGGGUAUCUCACCGAGGCAAAUUAGAAUAAAGGGCUUGAUCGACUUGACCAGAACAACCCCGUCUGUCUCCGAGCAUUGUCUUCUGGUCUGUGAAAGCGCAAAGUUUCUUCAAAAGUUGUAAGAGGAGAAUGUCACCAACAAGAUCCUUUAUAUCAAUCAUUGGUUUUUUGAGGUGGAUAUCAUUUUUAUCCUGAGUGAUGGUAACAGAAUCCAUCAGCUCUCUUUCACACCGUCGCUCCCUAGUCAAUGCAGUGCGACAUUGGUCAUGCUCUUCAUGCUGCUGCAGCCUGAAGACGGGCAUGCGAUCUGAAGUUUGUCAUCAGAGUUCAGAGGAGCUUUGGAUGCUGUAUUUCAACAUGGAUUAAGGUGUUAGACUUGGAAGAUAUAUUCUCCAUGUCUCAGUAUCUGUAAUAUCUUCGUGGCUUCCAUUUGGGAUAAUCCAGAACGGUAACGAUGAAGCCUUAGAAAGAAGACAAGAAACCCAUGUCCCAUCCAGUCAAAAUCAUGAACAAUCUUCAACAUUAAUUGAAAAAAUGUUGGUGACAGUGUUAUUACAGAGACUUAGGGGAGAGGAAAAUAAUAUGGAUAAUGAAAAGAGGAAAGAUUUCAUAAAGCAGGCCGUGGAGCUAAUUCUGCCUUCUCCAAUUGUUUACAGAAGCCAUGAAAGAACAAGCAGGAGGAGCUCCAAUGGCUGUGCCAUUUGUAUGGAGGAUUUUGAAGAUGGUGAUUC